rnacentral:tRNA from 1 species
GCCAAUGUAGCUCAGUUGGUAGAGCAAUGCUUUCGUAAAGCAGAGGUCGUGGGUUCGACUCCCACCAUUGGCUCCA